rnacentral:lncRNA from 1 species
GCUUCAUUUGUGGCUCUCAUAGUAACGAGAGGAUCCCAUACAGAGCUGUAUGUUACUAUUUGGGUUCAAUGUGUCUCAGGUCAUGUUGUCUCUGAGGACGCUGCUAACGGAAGAAUGCUUUCUCAUGACCGACUUCAGCAGCAGGCACUUUGCAUAGAUUUAACUCUAGUGCAGAUUUGAAUUUAGUCACAGCAUUACUCUGGCCACCAUUGGAGUACAGGCACAUCUAAAAUGUUUUCUGAGAGUCUAUUAGAACCAGCCUUAAAAACAUGUAAUUGAAAGUGAAACUCAAGAGCCUCCUGGGCCAGAACUCACUCUAAGGAGAGAAGAGACCAGACAUAAAGACUUGAUCAUUGGAAGAUGGGCUUCUGAUAUUCUGGAGAAACCAGUGUUAUCUGAGUGUUAAAGCUCAGUUAUUAAUCCUUUCUCAGAGUUCCGGGAUAAUGUUAUUGGCUUUCAAGCAUGUGAUGCAUCCCAAGAGAGCUGUUGACUUCCAGUCUGACCAAAUUCUUUCACGUUGUGGCGUGUACGAUGUAUAAACGUUUUGGAAUGCCUCUGAGACGACUUCUGCCGGUCCAUAAAAGCCCUAGGCUCAGCCAGAGCAGGGCAGAGGAUGGCCAGAGGAUGAAGAGGGCAGAGAGAUGAUGAGACCCCAUGACCAGCUACAGACAGGAGUACCCUU